CCCUCAUAUAUAUCUCUUGCUGGAGGUGUCUCUGAUGGCUCCAGAAAUCCCCUGACAAACAACCUGGAAACACAUGCCCUAGAGAUCUCCUUGACUAGUGGUGGAUGGUUGCUGGAGCAGUGAUUUUGGGCUCCAGUUAGGUGAUGAAUUCUGUUGAGAAACCUCAGAGGAAGAAGGCACAUCUACAUUGCGGUCUAAAGGAUGCAGCUGGCCGUAACUGGGAAAACGAGCCUCCCUAAUAGCAAUGCCCAGGGAAGGGGAGGCAGCACAACUCAGCACUGCAUCGUCCAUGCUCCGUGGCCACUGCCAACUGGAAAAGAAUGGCUGAACUGUGGUGACUGACAGAAGGCAUUCCCACGGCAUGCGUGAAAAUCGAAGGUUGCCUAGUUGAGCUUCUUUGACAUAAUCAGGUAGGAACACUGAGACUGAAUAGUCCAGAUUUUUCAUCGACUAAGACUAAUGACUGAGCACCUUGCAUACACAGGCACUCUUGUCUUUGGCUUAGCGUAGUGGAAUACAAAGCUCAGUAUCUCAAACUGCUGCUGAAUUAACAGAUGA